AGUGAACGCUGGCGGUAGGCCUAACACAUGCAAGUCGAACGGCAGCACAGGAGAGCUUGCUCUCUGGGUGGCGAGUGGCGGACGGGUGAGGAAUACAUCGGAAUCUACUCUGUCGUGGGGGAUAACGUAGGGAAACUUACGCUAAUACCGCAUACGACCUACGGGCGAAAGCAGGCGACCUUCGGGCCUUGCGCGAUUGAAUGAGCCGAUGUCGGAUUAGCGAGUUGGCGGGGUAAAGGCCCACCAAGGCGACGAUCCGUAGCUGGUCUGAGAGGAUGAUCAGCUACACUGGAACUGAGACACGGUCCAGACUCCUACGGGGGGCAGCAGUGGGGAAUAUUGGACAAUGGGCGCAAGCCUGAUCCAGCCAUACCGCGUGGGUGAAGAAGGCCUUCGGGUUGUAAAGCCCUUUUGUUGGGAAAGAAAUCCAGCUGGCUAAUACCCGGUUGGGAUGACGGUACCCAAAGAAUAAGCACCGGCUAACUUCGUGCCAGCCGCCGCCGUAA
rnacentral:rRNA from 1 species